rnacentral:rRNA from 1 species
UACAGAGGUCCCGAGCGUUGUUCGGAUUCAUUGGGCGUAAAGGGUGCGUAGGCGGCGGGGCAAGUCUGAUGUGAAAUCCCGGGGCUCAACCCCGGAACUGCAUUGGAUACUGCCUUGCUUGAGUACUGGAGAGGAGACUGGAAUUUACGGUGUAGCAGUGAAAUGCGUAGAUAUCGUAAGGAAGGCCAGUGGCGAAGGCGGCCAUCUGGAUCAACACUGACGCUGAGGCACGAAAGCGUGGGGAGCAAACAGG